rnacentral:misc_RNA from 1 species
AAGUCGUAACAAGGUUUCCGUAGGUGAACCUGCGGAAGGAUCAUUAUUGAAUAAAUCUUGAUGUGGUUGUUGCUGGCUUUUAGGAGCAUGUGCACACCUGUCAUUUUUAUCUUUCCACCUGUGCACAUUUUGUAGGCUUGGAAUUACCCCUCGCUUUCAGCGGAUGUGAGAAUUGCUGUGUCUGAACAAGACUUGGCUCUUCUUGAAUUUCCAAGUCUAUGUCUUUUUUUACACACCCCAAUAAAAUGUUUACAGAAUGUUGUCAAUGGGCUUUAAACUGCCUAUAAAACACAAUACAACUUUCAGCAACGGAUCUCUUGGCUCUC